rnacentral:misc_RNA from 1 species
UGCUGAGAUGAACAAGAGGUCAUUUAAGUAUGCCUGGGUGCUUGACAAGCUCAAGGCUGAGCGUGAACGUGGUAUUACCAUUGAUAUUGCCCUGUGGAAGUUCGAGACCACCAAGUACUACUGCACUGUCAUUGAUGCUCCUGGACAUCGCGACUUUAUUAAGAACAUGAUUACUGGAACCUCACAGGCUGACUGUGCUGUCCUCAUCAUUGAUUCCACCACUGGUGGUUUUGAAGCUGGUAUUUCCAAGGAUGGUCAAACCCGUGAGCACGCCCUUCUUGCCUUUACCCUUGGUGUCAAACAAAUGAUUUGCUGCUGCAACAAGGUGAUGAUCUAACUGUCUGUUUUUAUGCUUAGAUUUAAUUCUGUAGCAUAACUGCAUUAUGAGAUAUUAUCAUGUCUAUGGCUAAAGGGGAGAUUCUUAUACUGUGAUUGCUUUUUAUUUUACAUUUUUUCUUGAGAAGAAUACACGUUUUAUAAGAACACUCAGGAUUGGGUGAUUUCUAUUUAGGCUAGGGUCUGGUAGUUCUGGGCUCUGCAAAUUGAAAAUUGGGUUUGAUAAUGAAGUAAAUUCUCCUUUUCUGGGUACUUUUUUCUAUUCAGUGAUUUGCUCUGUCGUGUUUUCUCUUUGCUUCCUUUAUUAUAUAUUUGGGUUCUGGAAGAAAAGUUUCCUUUUUGAAACUAUAUAAAUGUUACUUAGUUUUAUGUUGACAAGCAACUGUAUCUUUACUGUUUAUAUUAUGUGUUCAUUAAUCUAAUCUUCAUAAUAUUUUACUUUUCCUUUCUUUAGAUGGAUGCCACCACUCCCAAGUACUCCAAGGCCAGGUAUGAUGAAAUCGUCAAGGAAGUCGCCUCAUACCUUAAGAAAGUAGGGUACAACCCAGAGAAGAUUCCAUUUGUCCCCAUCUCUGGGUUUGAAGGUGACAACAUGAUUCAGAGGUCAACCAACCUCGACUGGUACAAGGGCCCAACUCUUCUUGAAGCUCUGGACCAGAUU